UGGAAAUCACAAGUCUAAUAUAUCUGAUUUUUGCUGCAGCUGCACUGAGGGUUCUAGCUCACUUGCCAUUACCUUACUCUGCGCUGAGUUACUUCAUGAUUGUACCUACUCCUUUAAGGGAUGCUGUUUACGAUCAUGUUGCCAAGGAGAGGUAUAAAUGGUUUGGGAAGAGUGAUGACUGUUUAGUUCUCCGGGAACAAGACUUGCUUGAUCGCUUCAUUGAUAGGGAAGAGUUGCUUGAACGUAGCCGAUCAGUUUUGUGAAAUGCUGCUUCAGUGGAGGUCGUUAUAAUAAGUAAGUUUCAAUUAACAUUCUUUUGGAGUUGUAAGUAUGUAGUCCAUCCAUAGUAUACAUACACUACAUAUAAUCAUGAGUGUGGAGAGCUGGGAAUGCCUUCGUUUUUUGUCAUUGACGAAAAGUACAUCUGA
rnacentral:misc_RNA from 1 species